GCCGGGGCAGGUGUCAUACCCUCUGGGGGCUGGGGCAGGUGCCGCGCCCGGGGGAGCAGGCAGAGGUGCCGCCCCGCGGGGAGCCUGGAGAGGUGCUGCACCUGCGGGGAGCAUGCAGAGGUGCCGCCCCCGGGGGAGCACGGAGAGGUGCUGCACCUGCGGGGGGCACGGAGAGGUGCUGCACCUGCGGGAGGCACGGAGAGGUGCUGCACCUGCGGGGGACACGGAGAGGUGCCGCCCCCGGGGGAGCACGGAGAGGUGCUGCACCUGCGGGGAGCCUGGAGAGGUGCUGCACCUGCGGGGGGCACGGAGAGGUGCCGCCCCCGGGGGAGCACGGACAGGUGCUGCACCUGCAGGGAGCAUGCAGAGGUGCCGCCCCCGGGGGAGCACGGAGAGGCCACAUCCGCGGGGCGCGGCGGCAAGUGUCGCACCCACCGGGCAGGGGCAGGGGCAGGUGCCGCACCCACAGGCAGCCGCGGUCGGGACCAGGUGGUGGGCGGGGCGCACCUGGCGGGCGCCCCUGGGCCGCGGGGAAGGAGGCCCAGUCUCAGAAGCCAGGUAAACAAACAGGGCCCGGCCGCCUGUCCCCGUCGGGCCCCUUUGCUCCCAGCCGCCCCCGUGUGGCCCAGGCUCGGGAACUACCCCUCUCCCCCGGCCCCCCGCCCCCCUGAACCCCCGCCCCCCCGCCCCCCUGCGCCCCACCGCCCCCCGCAGCUGGCCCCUUCGCUCCUGCUCUUGCGGAUCCAAGAAGAGCCCCCCCGGGAGCCAAAGAUGGACCAGGCCGUCGGCUUCCCCCUGCAGCCCUGCUCGCUCCCGUCCCCCCCACCCUUUACCCACGCGGGAGCCUCCGAUCCACGGGCGGGGCAGGGGUGCCCUCUGCCGCCAGAGCCGCGGAUGCGCGGGCGCCCGUCGCGGGGCGACCUGGAGAGGCUCCUGGGCUCCUCCAGGGGAGGGGAGGCCCGGGGUCCCUGCAGGGCAGGCCUGGGGCGUUGGCCUAGGCCCUCAGUCCGCGUCGCCCCCGAGCUCCCCGGGGCGCUCCUGGAUAUGCACAGAGCGAACCCGGGAGCCUCUGGCCCAGCUGCAGAGGCGCAGUGCUCCCCGCGGGCGCGCGUCCUCCCCCGGGCCGCGUGGGGCCCAGUGUUUCUCAUCCUCGCUGGUUGCCGUGGUGUUGCUAUUCCAAGUGUUUCUAGCAAAAACAACAACAACAACAACAAAAAAAACCAACCACCAAUCUGUAAUAGUGUUUUCUAUAGAAUAUAA
rnacentral:lncRNA from 1 species